GACGAACGCUGGCGGCGUGCCUAAUACAUGCAAGUCGAGCGGACUUUCAAGAAGCUUGCUUUUUGAAAGUUAGCGGCGGACGGGUGAGUAACACGUGGCAACCUGCCUGCAAGACGGGGAUAACUCCGGGAAACCGGGGCUAAUACCGGAUAAUAUCUUCCUUCGCAUGAAGGAAGGUUGAAAGGCGGCGCAAGCUGCCGCUUGCAGAUGGGCCCGCGGCGCAUUAGCUAGUUGGUGAGGUAACGGCUCACCAAGGCGACGAUGCGUAGCCGACCUGAGAGGGUGAUCGGCCACACUGGGACUGAGACACGGCCCAGACUCCUACGGGAGGCAGCAGUAGGGAAUCUUCUGCAAUGGACGAAAGUCUGACGGAGCAACGCCGCGUGAGCGAAGAAGGUCUUCGGAUCGUAAAGCUCUGUUGUCAGGGAAGAACAAGUACCGUUCGAACAGGGCGGUACCUUGACGGUACCUGACCAGAAAGCCACGGCUAACUACGUG
rnacentral:rRNA from 1 species